rnacentral:rRNA from 1 species
CCUACGGGUGGCAGCAGUGAGGAAUAUUGGUCAAUGGCCGGAAGCCUGAACCAGCCAAGUAGCGUGAAGGACGAAGGUGCCAAGCGUUGUAAACUUCUUUUGUCAAGGGACAAAAUCAGGCUCGAGAGCCUGACCGAGGGUACUUUAAGAAAAAGCAUCGGCUAACUCCGUGCCAGCAGCCGCGGUAAUACGGGGGAUCCGAGCUUUAUCCGGAUUUAUUGGGUUUAAAGGGUGCGUAGGGGGACUGUUAAGUCAGCGGUAAAAGCCCGGGGCUCAACCCCGGAGAGCCGUUGAAACUGGCUGCCUUGAGAAGUCGUGAGGUAUGCGGAAUGCGCAGUGUAGCGGUGAAAUGCUUAGAUAUUGCGAAGAACUCCGAUUGCGAAGGCAGCAUACCGGCGGCGAUCUGACGUUGAUGCACGAAAGCGUGGGUAUCGAACAGGAUUAGAUACCCGGGUAGUC